UGGACAGAUUAUUAUAUUCGGCUGUAUUCAUGGCGUGAAACAGGGGAUUACACUAUUUUUAAACGGAAAGUGAACCAACAUAAUAAACUCCU
rnacentral:pre_miRNA from 1 species